rnacentral:rRNA from 1 species
UGGGGAAUUUUGGACAAUGGGGGAAACCCUGAUCCAGCCAUCCCGCGUGUGCGAUGAAGGCCUUCGGGUUGUAAAGCACUUUUGGCAGGAAAGAAACGUCAUGGGUUAAUACCCCGUGAAACUGACGGUACCUGCAGAAUAAGCACCGGCUAACUACGUGCCAGCAGCCGCGGUAAUACGUAGGGUGCAAGCGUUAAUCGGAAUUACUGGGCGUAAAGCGUGCGCAGGCGGGUCGGAAAGAAAGAUGUGAAAUCCCAGAGCUCAACUUUGGAACUGCAUUUUUAACUACCGGGCUAGAGUGUGUCAGAGGGAGGUGGAAUUCCGCGUGUAGCAGUGAAAUGCGUAGAUAUGCGGAGGAACACCGAUGGCGAAGGCAGCCUCCUGGGAUAACACUGACGCUCAUGCACGAAAGCGUGGGGAGCAAACAGG